UUUAUUUUUUAUUUUGAAACAGUUUAUUAUUAAGUUGCUUAGGCCUUACUACAGUUGCUGAGGCUGGCUUUGAACUUGAAAUCCUCCUGCCUCAGCCCUCUGAGCUGCUGGGAUUAGCCACCAUGCCUGUCUAAAAAUUUUUAAUUAUUUUAAAAUAAAAAGUAACUGUCUAAAUUGUAAUGGAGCCAAUGUUCAUUUAUAGAGUUCUGUGAUUUUUUACCUUCCAUAGGAUUAUUUCCCCACAUCUUCCCUCUCCUGCAAUGCCUCUUAGAAUCAUGAAAAUUCCACCAGAUCUUCCAUUUCUCAGAUGAGAAUGAGGCUCAGACGCUGAUUUGGCUAAAUCAGUAAUCAACCAAUUUUCCUCUAGAGUGUAUGCACUGAGAGAUAAUGUAGAUAAGGAUGAAGAGCAGAUUUUUAGACAUUUUUAUAGUAAAAUAUAUUUAACAUGAAAUGUGCCAUCAUUACUAUUUUUAAGUGUCCAGUUCUGUGGCAUUCAGUACAUUCACUUUUUUGUGCCCCCAGAACCACCAUCUGUCUCCAGAACUUUUUCAUUUUCCCCAUCUGCAGUUCUGCAACCAUGAAACAUUAACUCCCUGCUUUCCCCUCUCCUCACACACUGGUGGCCACCACUCUUAUGUCUUUAUGAAUUUGACUAUUUUAGAUAUUUUAUGUAAGUAAAAUCAGACAAUAUUUUCCUUUGCUAUCUGGUUUAUUUCACUUGGCAUAAUGUUUUCAAGGUUCAUACCACAUUGUAAUGUGUCAGAGUUUCAUUGCUUUUCAAAGCUGAAUAAUAUUCCAUUGUGUAUGUAUAUCACAUUUUAUUCAUCCAUUCAUCCACCACUGGGGUUACUUCCACCUUUGGCUAUUGUGACUAAUAGUGCUAUGAACCAACAGAUCUCUGAGUCUCUCCUUUUUGUUCUUUGGCGCAUAAAUACCCAGAAGCAGAAUUGCCAAAUCAUAUGAUUUUUUUUUUCCUUGCAGUGCUGAGGAUCAAACUAUGAUUCAAACCAUGGUCAUGCUGGAUAAGCACCCCUACCACUUGAACUACAUCCAUAGCCCAAUAAUUCUAUAUUUAAUUGUUUGAAGAGCUGACCUAUGGCUUUCUACAAUGGCUGCAUUAUUUUAUAUAAUAUUCGAGAAGUACAAUCUGUCAAAUCCUG
rnacentral:lncRNA from 1 species